UUCCAGAAAGGAUGCAUCUCACGCUGAGAAAUGGUGACGUACUGUAGAAGAUUUGAAAAGGAGAAUAACAAUAACAAAAGGAUCAUUCAGCAGCAUAAAUGACCUCCAGGGCAGGGUCCUCUGCUGCCAAAGGAACAUUCCACCUGCCUGUCACCCAGUUCCAGCAUCCGCUUGUUGGAGUUAAACAAAUCAACACAAUUGCACAGCUAAUCCCAAACCUACUACACCAAUAACUACCAAAAGGAAUCUUUAAAAUGCUGUUUGGCGAGGUACAAAUGACAGAACAAGAACCUCAGCAGGCUACGGGAAAGGAAUAACAAGAACAAACGUGC